GCGCUGCCAAUUCUGGAUACCCCGCCCUGUGAACCCGCUAACAAGUAGCCUUUCCAAACUGCAAAAAGGUGCAUUGAGCGAGGUUGAAAAGUAAGACCUUUCUUUUUUUUUUUUUUUUAAAGAAAAGAAACUUUCAAAAUGAAAAGGUUUUUUUUGGUCUUAUCUGCAAAAUGUGAAUUGUCAAUAGUAAUAAUACCCAACCCACAGACUGGGUAAGGAUUUAUUUAAAUAGGAUUUAAAAAAUUAUAAAACGUGAAGUAAGACUUCCUGUCUCCCUAUUGAUGAACAUGGGAGCGGUUGGAACUAUUUCGUAGUGGAACCGUUCGGUAGUUCUAAAUUAGCACGAGUGUUUAGAAGCUCGAUUAGGAAUUAGCUAGUAAAAUUACGUCUGCCUACUUCACUUCUAGGAAAAUUCUUGCGCAUGUGCCCAAAGAAACACCUACAGAUACAAGAAUAUUCAUGGCAACUCUUCAUAGUUUUAAAAAGCUGUAAACUUAAUCGUCAUUAGUAAACUGUAAACUCUGGUGUUUACGCCAUAUAACAGUAUAUGGUAGGUAGAAUGAACUAGUGCUAUAUCUACUAACACGGAGAACCUAAAAAAUGAUAAAGCAAACACCUAUUUUGCACGUAUUGUAGAGUGUGUAGUAUAAAAGAGCAUUUAAAUAGUUCAAAAACAUAUAAAAUAAAUUAACAUAAAAAUAUGUUAGCAAAAUUUAAAAGAAAUGCAUUAGAACUGUAUAUACUAAAAUUUCAAGAGAGUGAACCAGAGGGAGAUGUGAUUGAGAAGUGGACAUAGACUUCAAAUGCUUUGUUAAUGGUUUUUUAUUUUGUUUUUCUCUUUUGGAGGCCUCAAAGCAUAUGGAUUUCCCUGGCCAAGGAUCAGAUCCCAGCAGCAGUGUCGACCUAGCUGCAGCUGCAGCAGUGCUGGAGCCUUGGGAUUGGACCUGUAUCCCAGCGCUCCCAAGAGGCCACUGAUCCUAAUGUGCCACAGCGGGAACUCCGAUAACAUUUUAUUUUUUAGGUUGGUAGUCGUUAAACAGGUGUGCUGUACAUUUUUAUUUGUACCUUUUGAUAUGUCCAAAACAUUUAAUAAUGAAUUAAUUUUUAUUUUUUAAAGUAAAUCUCCAGUCCAUCCCCUUCCUCAGCCAUCCAGUUAUCCAGUUUCCUCUAUUAGUUAACAGGUUAUCGCUUUACUAUUUGAUUUUUUUUCAAAGAAUGAUUCUUGCAUGCAUAUUUAUUAUUGCUAUCAUUUUUCUGUCUUCUGAUUCUUCAGUUUCUGCUUUUGAAUUUGCUAAUUCCUUCUUUCUGUUCUCUAGGCUCAUAUGCUAUUCUUUUUCUAAGUUCUAUGGUAAUGCCCAAGUUACUUAUAUUCUUGUUUAUUACUAUAGUUAUUUUUGUCAACCACUUCUCUAAGCACUGCUUCAACUGUAACUAAUAACCAUAGAGUGCUUUUAUUAUUGAUAUUUUUUACAUAGUCUCAUUUUCUUAACUUUGAUUUUCUUUUUUGACUUAAGAGUAGUGUGAGGUAGAUUUUAAUAAUAAUAAACUAUUUUUAGAGCAGAUUUAGUUUUACGGGAAAUUUAGCAGAUAGUACAGAGUUUCUGUCUAUAUAUCCCUUUUUACCUAUCAGAGAUUUUCCUAUUAUUAUUGUUUUGCAUUAAGGUGGUACAUUUAUUACAAUUGAUGAGCCAGUAUUGAUACAUUGUUAUUAAUUAAAGCCCAUAGUUUGUUUCACUGUUGUGUUGUACAUAUAUACCAUAUGCAUGCUUGAAUUUUUAGACUGUCUCUGAAGUAGUUAUGCAAGAAACUGAUCAUUGUUAUUGCCUCCAGGGUUGAUGGCUAAUGCACACAAAUAGAAUUUGUUUCCAUGUACAUUGUAUUACCUAAUAAAAGGUAAAAUUUCUAAAAGUGAAUAAGAAAAAACUUGUAUAACUUAAAAGAGUAUAAACAACUCUUUUAAGAACUUUUAUUGUAUAGAACAAAGAUAUGAGGUGGUUGUUGGAGGGGAAUGUGGACUUAAGAAAGAGUAUUUUAAAGAGUAUUUUUGGAAUGGAGGCUAAUAGAGCAUGUAGAUUGAUGAGAAUGAAGCAUGGGGAGAGAAACGGUGAUGAUGAAGAGACAUGGGAAUAUUUGAAGUGGCAAAGUACCAAGUAGAUGGGUGGGAUGAUACCUGGUGGCCAAGUAGAAAGCGAUCUUUUGGAGUUCCUGUCAUGGCGCAGCGGAAAUGAAUCCAACUAGGAACGAUGAGGUUGCAGGUUUGAUGCCUGGCCCCACUCAGGGGGUUAAGGAUCCGGCAUUGCCGUGAACUGUGGUGUAGGUCGAAGACGAGGCUUGGAUCUGGUGUUGUUGUGGCUCUGGCGUAGGCCGGCAGUAGCAGCUCCAAUUAGACCCCUAGCCUGGGAACCUGCAUAUGCCUUGGUUGCGGCCCUAUUAAAAAAAAAAAAAAGAAAAAAAAAAAAAGAAAGUAAUCUUUGCUAGACAGAACACCUGCUCCCUGGUAACCAGAAGCAAGAAGGAAUCCAUAAGUACACAGCAGAUAGGAGUGAUGAUUUAGUGUGCUGAAAUAAGAGAAAUCCUUUUUGAUGUUUUCUGAGUCUCAGGGCAAUCAUCACCUAUAAUUAAAAGGACAGAAAGAUGUGUAGAAGGUCAAAGAAGAGAGGUAUUAACCAGAUUUCUGGGAAUCCCUGAUUAGCUAUCCAUCACCUCUCAGAGUGUAUAGGGCUCCACAUUUACUUCUCCUUGCUUACUCUUUCAUCUUGUCUCAUUUUGAUGACUCAGUGAUUCCUAUCUAGAUAGGCCUCCUGAAUCCAUAGGUAUUUCACAUCUCUGUGUCUUUGCUUACAUGUUUUCCUCUACUUUGAAUAUAACCCUUUGAUAUGGUUUUCAAAAACCUACACAGAGUUACACUAGCAUCCAAAAGAAUGAAAUACCCAAGGACUGAAUUUAACUAAAAAGAAUAUUCAACUACAAAAUAUUGCUGAAAAAAAAUCUUUAAAGACUUAAAUAAAUGAUAAGGCAUUCUCAAUUCAUGGAUUGGAAGACUUAAUGUUGUUAAGAUGACAAUAUUACCCAAAGCAAUCUACAUAUUACCCAUGCAAUCCUUUCCAAAAGUCUUUUUUUUUUUCCCAGAAAUGGAAAAUCUGAUACUCAAGUAUAUAUGGAACUGCAAGGGGCCCCAAAGAGCCAAAACAAUCUUGAAAAAAGAACAAAUUUGAAGGAUACCCACUUCCUUAUUUCAAAACUUAAUGUAAAACUCUAGUUAUGACAUAAGGAUAAAUGUAUAGACCAAUGGAAUAGAAUUAAGAGUCAGAAAUAAUCCUUUACAUAUACGAUGAAUUGACUUUCAACAAGGGUGCCAAGGCCAUUCAAUGGGGAAAGAAUAAUCUCUUCAAUAAAUGUGCUGGGAGUUCCCGAGUGGCCUAGCAAUUAAGGACUGGGUAUUCUCACUGCUGUGGCUUAGGUGUCUGCUAUGACUUAGGUUUGAUCGCUGGCCUAAGAACUUCUGCAUGCUUUGGGCACAGCAGAAAAAAAAAAAAAAGUGCUGGGAUAAAUGGAUGUCUAUAUACAAAAAAAUGAAAUUGGACCCUUACCUUCUACCAUAUACAGAAAUGAACUCAAAAUAAAUAAAGGACCUAAGUAUAAGAACUAAAACCAUAAAAGUCUUAGAAGAAAACAUAUCAAUAAAUGCGUCACCUGGGAUUUGGCAGUGUGUUCUUAGUACACAAAAACAUGAGCAAAAGAAAAUAAAUUAGACUUAAUCAAAAUUAAAAACCUUUGUGCAUCAAAUGAUACUAUCAAGAGAGUAAAAAGAGGAGUUCCCUGGUGGCUCAAUGAGUUAAGGAUCCUGUGUUGCCACAGCUGUGUCAUAGGUCACAGUUGUACCUCGGAUUCUAUCCCUGGCCCAGGAACAUCCAUAUGCCACUGGCGUGGCCAAAAAAAGAGAGAGAGUAAAAAGACAAUCUGGGAGUUCCCAUUGUGGUUCAGUGGGUUACAAAUCCAGCUAACAUCCAUGAGGAUAUGAGUUUGAUCCUGGGCCUCGCUCAGGGGGUAAGGAUCUGGUGUUGCCCAAACUGCAGUGUAGUUCGAACAUGUGGCUUGGAUCUGGUGUGGCUGUGGUUGUGGCAUAGGCUGGCAACUAUAGCUCCAUUUCAACUCCUAGCCUGGAAAAUUCCAUAUGCCU
rnacentral:lncRNA from 1 species